AUUGAACGCUGGCGGCAUGCUUUACACAUGCAAGUCGAACGGUAACAGGCCGCAAGGUGCUGACGAGUGGCGAACGGGUGAGUAAUGCAUCGGAACGUGCCCAGUCAUGGGGGAUAACGCAGCGAAAGCUGUGCUAAUACCGCAUACGAUCUAUGGAUGAAAGCGGGGGACCGUAAGGCCUCGCGCGAUUGGAGCGGCCGAUGUCAGAUUAGCUAGUUGGUGGGGUAAAGGCCCACCAAGGCGACGAUCUGUAGCUGGUCUGAGAGGACGACCAGCCACACUGGGACUGAGACACGGCCCAGACUCCUACGGGAGGCAGCAGUGGGGAAGUUUGGACAAUGGGCGCAAGCCUGAUCCAGCAAUGCCGCGUGCAGGAAGAAGGCCUUCGGGUUGUAAACUGCUUUUGUACGGAACGAAACGGCCUGGGUUAAUACCCUGGGCUAAUGACGGUACCGUAAGAAUAAGCACCGGCUAACUACGUGCCAGCAGCCGCCGUAACAC
rnacentral:rRNA from 1 species